rnacentral:rRNA from 1 species
UACGAGGGGGGCAAAUGUUGUUCGGAAUCACUGGGCGUAAAGGGAGCGUAGGCGGGUUUUUAAGUCAGGUGUUUAAUCCCGGGGCCCAACCCCGGACCGGCACUUGAAACUGGAAAUCUUGAAUAGUGGAGAGGUCAGUGGAAUUGGGGGUGUAGCGGUGGAAUGCGUAGAGAUCCCCAAGAACACCAGUUGCGAAGGCGGCUGACUGGACACAUAUUGACGCUGAGGCUCGAAAGCAUGGGGAGCAAACAGG